rnacentral:misc_RNA from 1 species
AUGCAUUGUCAGUCGACAAUGUUUGUCUUUCUAAAGACAUGUCUCAAUACUACCGCUAUAUACAUUUGUGCUGAAUAUAACGUCACUGCGCAUGUGCGGGUUAAACUCUGUUGGAAUGUGAAUCUUUGGUGGCUUGUGGUUCAGUUGGUAGGAGUUCAGUCAGAUAUGUGUCCUUAAUGCAGCAACACUGGGACACGGAAUACCAGCUUUCAACUGAUGGAAUUAAGGAUCUCACAGACAUUUAGAAGAACUACGUGUGUAUGAGUGUACUCAAAGAGAAUGUGUAGAUAUACCAGAAACAACGCAGAGAAGGUUCUGGAAACAAACAUAAAAGUUAUGUGAAGCUAAUGUCACAAAGGACUAAUAUGGCUUCCUAAUUUUGAAAACAGAAAAUUCUCGUGUGGACCAACUGUUGUUUGACUGCAGCGUGGGUUAAUAGUUCUUCGUCACGUCUAACCUACUCACAAUCCCCUUCCAACCAUGUAUCGAAGGAAUGGCUUCGACAGCCGGCGGCUACAGCGGACCCCUCGUCUAGAGAUGGCGGUCUGGCAGGACCUGGUGAGCGACACGGGGCACAUGCACAUGCCCGGGUAUGACCCCAAUGACCCUUACAGCUGCACGUGCUACCCCAAGCCAUCCAGCAUCCAGAUCCCGUCCAUGGUGUAUGACGAGAUCCGGUGUCCUCACCCCGAGAAGCAUCACCUUCAGCCGGCCCAGGACGAUGUGUUCGCGUAUCCCUGGACGGUGCAGACAUAUGAACCUCCAUUUGACAAGAACUCGUACAGACCCAUGAGUCUCCCACCAAGGCCGCCGAUGUCCGCUAAGACCGCCCCGCCCUAUGUUGGCAUGAAAGCCAAGAAACCACAGAGUGUGGCUCCACCUCCUAACUCAGCUCCUGACAAGGUCAAGGUUCCAAAGUUGGACCUGAAUCUUCUUGAGCAGCCCCAAAGAUCAAAGGUAGUGACAACACCGACGUUAACGACAAUCGGUGAAGCUCAGGACGACUUCGCGGAGACGAAGGGCAACUAUCCCACCAUCACCCAGUACGACAGCGUUAGCCAAGUGCUACAGAGACGUUACUCCUCCUACUACCGGAACCCGGCCCCCACGCCGCUCCACUUCAAAGACCCAGACAGGAACAUGAUGCGGAGGACACCGGUGCGAGAUCCCCCCUACAAGGGGAUGCCCCCCAGGACGAGGGAGGUGAUCACACGGGACCUACCCACCAGGAAUAGUGCCUACUACAGCAGGUUCGAGUACAGCCCACCGCCCCAGGUCCGGGGCACCCCCGGGAUGAGAUCCUACACAGCCACUAUGGACCCAGUCCCCACAAGGCAGUUCGAAGGACAUUACGUCGACCCGAAGACGGGAAAGGAAUUCAAGUAUGACGUCCGAUAUGGAAAACGGGACCUUGAGGGCAACAGAAGCCUGAUCACAGCCUGACCAAUUGACCACAGACGACGGCCAGUGACCAGCUCGGUAUAAUCAACACGGACAAAGGGUAGCUAGCUCAUCCCAGAUCACAGAGGGCUACACAACUGGGAAUCGGUAGUACUGGGAGCAUAAUAGGACGACAGUGGCACAAAGUAUGUCGUCUCGCAGGUGGUACGUGGGACUGAGGCAGUGUAAGGACGUCCCCGUCACUGCCACAUGUAUGUGACACUCGAGUCUAGUUUUAUCUAAGGGGCCUUUCAAGAAGAGUAUGCCCAGACAUCUUCCUAUGGCCAACACAUUACAGUAAUAGUGUUCAUGAACAUACCCACAUGUGCUCACAGCAUGGUCACUUAACAACUACUGCUGACACGGGGGAAAUCAAGUUCAGCCUAUUAGGUAUGCCGCAAAGUAUUUAGAUAAACAUCAAACAUCAGAAGUACUCCGCAUGACGUAUGUAACCAUGUCCUUCCAACUGUGUCUUGUAGCAGUGUCUUAUCACCGAUCCCACCAGGUCAGGAAUUAAAACAGUACUUCCAGAUACCGAGCUUGUCAGUCAGGGACCGUCAAGAGCAAUAACUAAAGGAAACACUGAUACCACCUCUUAAGGAAUGACUAGUAGAUGGACGCCACAAUGCCUGUGCUACCGACAUAGUGCGGCAGAAGUAACGUGUAACAAGAUUGGGUAUUGCAAAAAGUCAUGAUGUAUUUAUCUGGGCAAUGAUUUGCAUCGUCUUGGAACAUUGGUUGUGUACUACAGAACCUCAGUUCACGUAUUGGGAGUCUUGUGUAGGUCAUGGACGUCAACAGCAGGUGGGCGUCAUCUGAGUCUGGUGUAGGUCAUGUAUUUCAACAGCAUUUUGGCGUCAUGUCAGUCUGGUAUAGGUCAUGUAUUUCAACAGCAGGGGGGCGUCAUCUGAGUCUGGUGUAGGACAUGGACGCCAACAGCAGGGGGGCGCCAGCUGAGACUGGUGUAGGUCAUGUAUUUCAACAACAGGUGGGCGUCAUGUCAGUCUGGUGUAGAUCAUGUAUUUCAACAGUAGAUGGGCGUCAUCUGAGACUGGUGAAGGUCAUGUAUUUUAACAGCAGGUGGGCGUCAUCUGAGACUGGUGUAGGACAGGACGUCAACAGCAGGUGGGCGCCAGCUGAGACUGGUGUAGGUCAUGUAUUUCAACAACAGGUUGGCGUCAUGUCAGUCUGGUGUAGAUCAUGUAUUUCAACAGUAGAUGGGCGUCAUCUGAGACUGGUGUAGGUCAUGUUUUUCAACAGUAGGUGGGCGUCAUCUGAGACUGGUGUAGGUCAUGUAUUUCAACAGCAGGUGGGCAUCAUCUGAGACUGGUGAAGGUCGUGUAUUUCAACAGCAGCUGGUCGUCAUCUAAGUCUGGCGUGGGUCAUGUAUUUCAACAGCAGAAGGGCAUCAUCUGAGACUGGUGUAGGUCAUGUAUUUCAACAGCAGGUGGGCGUCAUUUAAGUCUGGUGUAGGUCAUGUAUUUCAACAGAAGGGGGGCUUCAUCUGAGACUGGUGUAGGUCAUGUAUUUCAACAGUAGGUGGGCGUCAUCUGAGACUGGUGUAGGUAAUGUAUUUCAACAGCAGGUGGGCGUCAUCUGAGACUGGUGUAGGUCAUGUAUUUCAACAGCAGGUGGGCAUCAUCUGAGGCUGGUGUAGGUCAUGUAUUUCAACAGCAGGGGGGCAUCAUCUGAGACUGAUGUAGGUCAUGUAUUUCAACAGCAGGUGGGCAUCACCUGUGUCUGGUGUAGGUCAUGUAUUUCAACAGUAGGUGGGCGUCAUCUGAGACUGGUGUAGGUCAUGUAUUUCAACAGCAGGUGGGCGUCAUCUGAGACUGGUGUAGGUCAUGGACUCACUGUUUGGUCCCAACAUUUAUUUUAUUUUCCUUGGUGAGGACAAAUGAUAACAAACCUACCCAAUGUUAAAAAAAACAAUUUUGUUGCAUGAAUUGUCAUUAUUACCGACACUUAUCAAUAAGUUAUUAUGUAUAAUGUGUUCACUUAAACCGAGCUUGUACUUUAUAUAUGAUAUUUGAUGCUGUAUAUUCAUGAGUGGCCAAGAAAGGUUUAGUAUCUCCCGUACCUUGCCGUAUCUUGUCAGGCGAACUCGACUGUGUUCUGUUUCCUAUCUGGUUGUGAUGCACUGUGUCACAAUAUCCUUCAACACACCCUUUAUAGUGCACUGUGUAUGUGCACUUCAAAAUGGCGAUGUGUUCACUUUGUAUGCAACAACUAUUCAUGUAUCAAAUUGUAUUUGUUCAUAAAAAUGUCAAAAUAA